ensembl:lncRNA
GUUUUGUAAUGGUGUUUGGGUAAUCUUUGCAGGUUCACUAAUGAUCUACCGAUGGAUGUAGAAGUCUAGAGAAGUAUCUGAAAAACAAACAGAUAUUGAGUUUGGUGUUUAGAACAUUUCGAUCUGUCCAAUUGUUGAUUUUAAUUUGGUUUUGGGGGGAAAGGAAUUUAGUCUUUUUAAGUCUCUUUUCUUUUCAUUUUCAGGUGGAACUCUGCAGGUUUAAUAGCGCAAGAAAACCAUCUUUCUUUGGAUCUCUGAAUCUUUGUUUACAAGUCUGAUGGAUUCUGGGAUAUCUGCUACAAAAAGGGUUUAAAAGUGUUUAAAUUAAACUAAAGAUCAGUCUACAGAAACUCCUCGCACACAAAUACAUCUUUGACAGACUAAUGCCAAACAGACUUCCCCCUGCUUCUUCAGAUCUCCUCUCCCCCUCGUCUGUGUGAACAUGCACAGACAUGUUCGGAAAGACCAGAAGGGAAACCCCCAAUGCAUGCAGCGGAAGCACUUUGCAUCCUGAAUCACAGGAUCUGUAAGCACAAAGGACAUAUGACUUACAGUACAUAUCUUUGAUUUUCAGGAUUUCCUUGAUGUCUGGUAUCCAGAUUUCUGAGCAGGUGAGGGGGUUAAAACCAAGCUGAAUUUGGGUGUAGGAGGCGGGCAGAUGGACAGACUAAGAAAAUCAGACAGAGACCUUUAUGAAUAUGGAUGGCUGUAACGAAUACGCUAAAAUAGGUCAAAGCAGUGAUCUGGCUGCACGUGUGCUCUUUAGAAAUUCCAUAUAAAUUUGCAUGUGGGUCAGCUCUUUCUUUGAGGAACUGUUUGACCUUUGACCAUGCCUCUGUUUCCCCCUACAACCCACAUGCCCACACCCAUUUCACCUCUUCCCAUCCGGGACAGCUGUCAGCAUGGACCUGGCCAAAGAAAAGGGACCCAUCUGUCGUCUUCCUUCAAAGGUUCUGGGUGAGUGGACCAAAAGAUGAUGUAAGCCAGUAUCAAGAGUCAGGUGUUGCAGAUGGACACACUAAUGGCCAUAUAUCCAGGAUAAUCGUGCCCUUAAAGCAAGUGUCAUUGUUUUCUGAUCAAUGUGCUUCUUUGGAAAUUGGAUAAAUCUGUCCUCUGACUGUUCAGUGAAGGAUUGAACGAGUAGGGAAGGAGAUGGAAGACUGGAGUCAAGCAACACAGCUGCACUCACAAAAGGUACUUGUGGAGAAAGGAACACUGCUUGCAUCGUGCUAUCCCCAAACGGAGGAAGGGGGGAAAUGACUUUUUAAAGCCCAGGAACAGUCAAUGUUUACAAGAUGAAGAGUUCUUUUUUUUUUUUUUUAUAUUCUGUGUGUUUUCGGCAACAGUUAUUUUGCUGUCUGCGAUAUACUUGGGAUUCAGCUGUCAUUCAGCCUGAGAAUUAAAUAAGGCACAGGGCUUCAUUAUGCUUUCUGUCAGCUAUCAUUAAUUAAACAUCUGAAAAUGGAACAGCAACUUGACCCAAAGUCUCCCAGACACAAGUCAUUCUAGACCUACAAAAAUAGAAAAAAAGUGUUUUAAUUAUCUGAAAAAUGUAUUUAACAAACAAAAAACUGAAUCCUCCCUCAUGUAAUUUUUCUGAUUUGUAACUUCUUCCUAUUUCUCUUUCCCUCUGCCUCUGACCUGGAAAUCCAUCCAUGCAUUGCUCCAUUUAUUUUCCAUCUCCUAUCUAAAAUUGAGGUUUGCCUAGAAGAUCUCCCUCUCCCUAGCCAAUUUGUCUACAUAUUAAAUACUUUGAAACGUGACUCUUUUGGCCAUCACCACUGAUUUAGCCAGAAAGUCUUUAGGUAAAAUUUAAAGAAGUGGUUUGCUUCAUGCACCACCCCAGAGUGUGGGUGAUUGCAACUUGUUGUCCUUGACAAAGGUCCCACACAAAGGUCUUUAGCUUGGCUCCCUUAUAUGCAGUUGGACAAAUAGCUUAAAGGUGAACUAAAAUUAAGGCAAUCACUUGUGAUAAAUAUCUUUUUUUUAAUGUUUCAAGUUGUUAGAACUGUCAUUAUAUGUGUGAUAGAUGAAUAACACAUCGUCACUAUAUGGUUGUGUUUUUGUUUUUUGUCUAUUACAAUGAGCAGAAAGCCACCUAAUGCUAUAAACUGAAAUUGAUUACAUUUUACUGCUACUGCCCAGAGGUUGUAGAAAGUUCUACAUAAAAGAGAGAUACUGUUGUGCUGCAGUGAAAAGGAGAACCCAUUUCAUACUGAGCUGUUUUUAUAAGAGUGCUACACUGACACCUGCUGGACGGAGUAAAGAUUGUUGAGGACUCGAUAAAACAACUGGUCUAUCUUUACAGCAAAUCAUAAAAAAUAUGAAAUAGACACAAUAGAUAAAUAAAGUUUUUUCAAACCUUAAGAACAUUUUUUUAGUUCCAUUACUAUUCAUUUUCUGUUAAAGUCAUUGUCAAAUGGAACUGCUUUGAUAUAACAAGAAAAAACCCUGAAACACCAUUGCUAAUACCAUUUUGUGUGACAGUAGGUGUCUUACUGAGUGCUUAUAUAAAUAACAUUUUCCGUACAUAGGUGGAGAGUUGUGUAGUUAUUGUUGAGAAAUUUGUGCGUCAUCCGGUUUCCCGAAGGCAGAAAAAUGAUCGUCAGUUGGUUGGUCAGCCAACUUAAAUAUUUAAAAGGAUAGAAAUCAAAGUCAAACGUCUGAAAAGGUAAGCAGAGAAGACAGGGCUUAUAGUUUUGCAAUGCCAGUGAACUGUAAUAGUGAUUUGUUUUAUUUCAGACUCAAUACGUAAUCAAUAAAAUCAGAAAGAUUGAAAAAUUACCCAAAAAAAAUCAAAACAUAAAAACUGGCAGGUCUGUGUACAGAUUAAUAGACAUACAUGAAUCUCUCCUAAAAGCAUGAUAGGGAGGAAAACAUAACUUUUAUGAGGAUUCCCAACACCAGUAAAGAGUGCUAAGCAUUCUAGAUCAAUCUAAGUACUAUCUCAGAACAGCUGGAGGUCUUCCUCCAGCUGUUUUGAAGAGCAACUUCAAGGAUAUUUAAUCAAAGCCAUGCCACUGAUAGUCAUCAUUAUUAAAAGCAACCUGCAACUCAUUCCUGUAAUUGAUCCAAAGGUGAGCUGGGUUGUUUUGAUGCUGAUAAAGUGAGUCAAGAGAUUAAAAAAGCUCAAGAACAAAGACCUAGCAGAAAAGAAAUCUAAUAGCAUGUAAUGUAUUAUAGAGCAAAUACCUUCAAGGGAAAGUACAAGAAGUGACAUCAUAUGCACUGUUGGCUCUAAAAGUACCUCACUGGGGCUUAAAGAUUAAUAAACAGUUGAUCCUGGUUUAAUAGAUUUCAUAUUACCGGUAGGCCUAAAUUGGCUUGGUGAUUUCUUUGAUGGGGUUUUAACAGAAACAAUAAAUAUAACUAUAGUAAUAGUAUUUUGAUACAAGGCAUGGUUUUAAAUUGAACCCUUUUCAUAGGCAAUAAAAUAAACACAUUUGGAAAAUAAGAACACUGCCUUCUUUAUAUAUUUCAUUGUUAAC